AAAAUUUACAUAUUCAAAUCAUGAGUUUGAAACUUCUAAAAACGUUAUUCAAUCCCUCUUUAAAUUCAUAUAUUAGCAGGAUUUAGUAGAGGCUGAAGAUGUCAAGAGAGGGGAGGUGUUGAGAUCGAUUGACCAUUCAGAAGGUAAUCAAUCAAAUGCGAAGGUAUGACGUCACAAGUAUUUGAGAUUAAAACUUAUGAAACUGCAUGGCUGAAAAUUAAGCUUUGAAGAUUGAUGGAUGAUAUAGAAAGUUAAAGAAAGAAGAAAAAGAUUGAAUAGCACCUUGUUUUAAGGAUUUAUGAUUAAAAAUAUUUAUAUUUCUCGAUUUAUUUCUCCUCUAGAAAUCAAUAAACAUGAUGGUGUGUUGGAUGAAGGAUGCAAGAGAGACCUCCAUGUAAACACUCUUUCUUUCUUUUGAAGGCGUAUAGUAAAGCUUGAGGGUCAUUUUUCUAAUGAAAAGUAUAUUGAGUAUUUUAUGUAAUAAGUUAGAAAGUAGAAUAGUGAAAAUUUUGCAAUAUUUAGUAUUUUAGAAAACAUGUAUGUAAAUAGUAGUUUGCUUCAUGAUAAUAACAAUAAAUUUUUACUAAAUUAAUUUGAAUAUUAUGAUCUAUGAACACCUAUAAAUUAACAUAAAAUCUUUCAAUUAUUUGAAUACUCUUAUUUAUUUAUUUUUAAUAAUAAAAUAAUACUAUAUUACAAAACUAAAAAACAGAAAAAUAUAGAUAUUAUUAAAUAGCAUCUAUUGUCAUUGUCAAUUGUCACUCUCAAUAUGUAUAAUAUCCAUUUUAAACAAUUUUAAUUUCUUUUAUUAUCUUUUAGCUUUUGAUUUCAUUCACAAAUGUAUUGAAAAUCAUAAUAUUGAAUUUUAAUGAAUAAAUAGAUUAAUUUCAACAUGUUAUUUAAUAUAGAUUUUUGACAUGAGAUAUAUAUAUUUGAGACAUGAGAUAUAUAUUUGGGACUUAAGUGUAGGAAAUUUUGGUAAAAUAAGUUAAACAAUUUUGUAAGGAAAUUUUGGUAAUUUUAAUCCUUUAAUGGGAUUGCUAUAUGUGGCUUUUAUAAGUUCUUUAACUUAGAUGGUGUGUGAAAGCAUAACAACCACUUGAAGUGAAUAAAUAUCAAGGUUCUAAAAAGUUCGUCAUGGCUCCGUCAUGGCGCGCCACGACUCCAAGGCUUGCACUUGCCGCCAAGCUUUGCCAAAACGCCGCCUUAACUCAUAUAUGUGUAUAAAAAUGAAUAAUAGUUGAAAAUACAUAUAAAAAUAUUAAUUAUAUAAAAAAUUGCCGCCUUAAGUGACGCCUUACAAACGUCAUGACUCGCCAAGGCUCGGAAAAGCUUGAGGCUUGACAUUACCAUCAAGUCAUGCCUUACGUUAUUUAGAACCUUGAUAAAUACCAAGAGUAUAUAUCCUGACACCUUAUUUGUAAAUGAUUUUGGUAUAAACCCAUGCCAUAAGUAUAUUUAUUUGUUGGUUGACUCGAUUCCAGGCACUUGGAAUGGUUAAUACAUUGGUUUUGAUCGUGUCGUGUUUUUCUUAAAAUUGUUUUAGGAUUUGCUUAAUAUUUAGUGACCUUUGUGCUAUCUCUCAACUCUACUAGUUAAGUCAACGACAAAAAUAUUAGGUAAGUAGCAUUUUAUGAGGAGUAUCCACGCUAUAUAUAUUAAAGGUGGGUCACUUAGCCCACCUAUUUUUUAUAACAAAUUAUAUAAAAAUAUAACCAGUAAAUUACAUGAAUGGUCCCUAUGGUUUAGGAUAAUUUACACGUUUGGUUCUUAACUUAUUUUUUUAACUCGGAAGGUCCUUAUUGUUUGUUUUUGUUACACGAUUGGUCCUUACUGUUUGUUUUUGUUAUGCGCUUAAUCCUUGUCUUACCUAAAAAGACUAUUAUUUAAAUAGGGAAAAAUGAUGGGGUCCGUAAGGUAAGGUGAGAAGGAUGUGGUUGAGGGUGUGUUUAUUUAAAUAAAUUAAAAAAAAUCAAUGACAAAAUAGUCUUUUUAGGUAAGAUAGAGAUCAAGCGUGUAACAAAAACAAACAGUAAGGACCUUCCGAGUUUAAA
rnacentral:lncRNA from 1 species